UAGUCCACGCUGUAAACGAUGAUCACUCGCUGUUGGCCGGUAUAGGUCAGUGGCCAAGCGAAAGCGUUAAGUGAUCCACCUGGGGAGUACGCUCGCAAGAGUGAAACUCAAAGGAUUGACGGGGGCCCGCACAAGCGGUGGAGUAUGUGGUUUAAUUCGAAGCAACGCGCAGAACCUUACCUACCCUUAACAUUUCACGACCGCCUCAGAGAUGAGGUUUUCUCUUCGGAGACGUGAGGAUAGGUGCUGCAUGGCUGUCGUCAGCUCGUGUCGUAAGAUGUCUGGUUAAGUCCAAUAACGAGCGCAACCCUUAUCCUUAGUUACCAGCAUUGAGUUGGGGACUCUAGGGAGACUGCCGGUGUUAAACCGGAGGAAGGCGGGGAUGACGUCAAGUCCUCAUGGCCCUUACGGGUAGGGCUACACACGUACUACAAUGGCAGGACAAACCGCGCGCAAUAUCGCAAGAUGGAGCCAAUCGGUAAAACACUGUCUCAGUCCGGA
rnacentral:rRNA from 1 species